UACAGAGGGUGCGAGCGUUAAUCGGAAUUACUGGGCGUAAAGCGUGCGUAGACGGUUAUGUAAGUCAGGUGUGAAAGCCCCGGGCUCAACCUGGGAACUGCGUCCGAUACUGGAAGGCUUGAAUCCGGGAGAGGGAUGCGGAAUUCCAGGUGUAGCGGUGAAAUGCGUAGAUAUCUGGAGGAACACCGGUGGCGAAGGCGGCAUCCUGGACCAACACUGACGCUGAGGAGCGAAAGCCAGGGGAGCAAACGGG
rnacentral:rRNA from 1 species